ensembl:lncRNA
GGAAAAGCCAGGCUUUCAGGAAGCUGAUGAUCAUUGAGGAGGUUCUGUCUUCAAAUGUAGUCACAAUGGGAGCUUCAGUGUAUGAAUUUGAAGGAGACAUGAUUCAGUUCAUAACAUCACACCUGAGCAAAUGACACUCCCAUCAUCCUCACAGCUGGUCAUGGCUUGAAUCCUCCUUGUGAGGGUGGCGAAGAAGAUCCAGGCUUCUCCAAGAGGAGGUUUCAGAAUUCCAGGCUUCCUGCACACUACUUAACCACAGCCUCUCAUCUCGUGGCCAUGCUGAUCACAUUUGCCAUACCCAAGAAUGUUCCCAAGAAUGGCACAGACACAGCUGGCUGAUUCACUCAACGGAAAGUCAGAAGAUUAGAGUCUAUGUAGAAGGAGAUUUAGACACAAGUUCUCGUAGCAGAAAUUUCCCUACUGAUUUAGAAGGGCAUUCUUUGUUGAAACAAUAGAUUUCUGAGAAGAUUUCUCUAUUUCUCUCCAUUUUCCUGUAAUACAGAUGCCAGCCUUUUCCAGAUGGGACUGUUUCCACUCGAUUUUCAGUGGUCUGAUUUUUAGCUGUCAUGACCCAGACUGUUUUGCCUCAUGAUCCCAUAAAGCACACAAUAAUAGAACCACUGGCAUUUUAGAUUCUACUGCAAUUCAUAUUGUGUUUAGCACUUUCUUCCCCUGUACACUUUAAUUUCUGUGCAUGGCUGAACCACCUCAUUUCCACGGAAAUGAAGUUAGUGGCUGCAGGUGCUUCGGUUCUAGAGGUGGUGAUUCAUUUCUGAGCUCUGGUGUCCUUUCACCCCUAGUGGGACAAGUGCACACACACGUAUGCACACAUAGAGCUUCAUCUUUUCCAG